rnacentral:rRNA from 1 species
UCAUUCACAAUGGGCGAAAGCCUGAUGGUGCGACGCCGCGUGAGGGAUGAAGGUCUUCGGAUUGUAAACCUCUGUCACUAGGGAAGAAAAACCAGCCGUUAAUAGCGUCUGGUCUGACUUAACCUGGAGAGGAAGCAGUGGCUAACUCUGUGCCAGCAGCCGCGGUAAUACAGAGACUGCAAGCGUUAUUCGGAUUCACUGGGCGUAAAGGGUGCGCAGGCGGCCGUGUGUGUUAGGUGUGAAAGCCCGAGGCUCAACCUCGGAAUUGCGCCUAAAACUACACGGCUAGAGUAUUGGAGAGGGUAGCGGAAUUCACGGUGUAGCAGUGAAAUGCGUAGAUAUCGUGAGGAACACCAGAGGCGAAGGCGGCUACCUGGACAAUUACUGACGCUCAGGCACGAAAGCGUGGGGAGCAAAAGGG